GGUGUCUUCGGACGCCGGCAUACGGCUCAGUAACACGUAGGUAACCUACCCUCAGGACUGAGAUAACCCCGGGAAACUGGGGCUAAUAUUAGAUAGAUAAAAGAUACUGGAAUGUUCUUUUAUCCAAAGCUUUUGCGCCUGAGGAUGGGCCUGCGUCCGAUUAGGUUGUUGGUGGGGUAAUGGCCCACCAAGCCUGCGAUCGGUACGGGCAGUGGGAGCUGAAGCCCGUAGUUGGGGACUGAGACAAGGCCCCAGGCCCUACGGGGCGCAGCAGGCGCGAAACCUCUGCAAUGCGGGAAACCGUGACAGGGGGAUCCCAAGUGCUCAUGCAUUGCAUGGGCUGUUCUUUGGUCUAAGUAACCAGAGGAGUAAGGGCUGGGCAAGACCGGUGCCAGCCGCCGCGGUAAUACCGGCAGCUCAAGUGGUAGCCGCGAUUAUUGGGCCUAAAACGUUCGUAGCCGGAUAAGUAAGUCUUUGGUUAAAUCCUGCGACUCAACCGUGGGAAUUCUAGAGAUACUGCUUGUCUUGAGACCGGGAGAGGUUGGAGGUACUCCUAGGGUAGGGGUGAAAUCCUGUAAUCCUAGGGGGACCACCUGUGGCGAA
rnacentral:rRNA from 1 species